rnacentral:rRNA from 1 species
UACGUAGGAUGCAAGCGUUGUCCGGAUUUACUGGGCGUAAAGCGUGCGUAGGUGGUUUGUUAAGUCUGAUGUGAAAGCCCUGGGCUCAACCUGGGAAUUGCAUUGGAUACUGGCAGGCUAGAGUGCGGUAGAGGAUGGCGGAAUUCCCGGUGUAGCAGUGAAAUGCGUAGAGAUCGGGAGGAACAUCUGUGGCGAAGGCGGCCAUCUGGACCAGCACUGACACUGAGGCACGAAAGCGUGGGGAGCAAACAGG